rnacentral:rRNA from 1 species
UCGAACGAGAAAGUGGAGCAAUCCAUGAGUACAGUGGCGUACGGGUGAGUAACACGUGGGUAAUCUACCCUUUGGUGGGGAAUAACUCUGGGAAACCGGAGCUAAUACCGCAUAAUCCCGAGAGGGAAAAGCAGCAAUGCGCCGAAGGAGGAGCCCGCGGCCGAUUAGCCAGUUGGUAGGGUAAUGGCCUACCAAAGCAAAGAUCGGUAGCCGGCCUGAGAGGGCACACGGCCACACUGGCACUGAAACACGGGCCAGACUCCUACGGGAGGCAGCAGUGGGGAAUCUUGCACAAUGGGGGAAACCCUGAUGCAGCGACGCCGCGUGAGCGAUGAAGCCCUUCGGGGUGUAAAGCUCUUUCGGCAGGGAAGAUUAUGACGGUACCUGCAGAAGCAGCUGCGGCUAACUACGUGCCAGCAGCCGCGGUAAUACGUAGGCAGCAAGCGUUGUUCGGAGUUACUGGGCGUAAAGGGUGUGUAGGCGGCUUUUUAAGUUUGGUGUGAAAUCUCCCGGCUCAACCGGGAGGGUGCGCCGAAUA